rnacentral:lncRNA from 1 species
GUUAUUUGAGUUUGGAAACUGUGAGACUAUGUGGGAGAAUUCUCUGCAGCCUUAAAAGUACAGAAAUGGAUCUUUUGUGGCUUGUGAGCUCAACCAAACCAAAGAAGAAAAAAGGUCCUCUGUCUCUGUGUUGAGGUACAGGAGAAAAAAGCUGAGAGGGAAGAGGACGGGGGACACAGAGCCAGAGCUGUCAGAGGUCACUUGAAACACCAUAAGGAACACUAGUGGGCUCUCAUUGGAGCUACCCAGCUUUGGAGAGGCUCAGUAGCUAUUUGGUGGCUCUUUCAUGUAUUUCCAGAUUGUUCAAGGCCAAGGAUACAAGUAGACUCAUCCAUGAAUCUCAUUUUCGAGAGUACAGGAUCAUAAAAAUAUCCUGGUAAUGGUGAAACCUUUUGGCAUAAACAGUGGUUCCAUUCUGCCUGUACAGAGAGUAAAAGGAAACAGGGG